CUGGAAUUAAACGCCCUGUCACCCCGGAGGACAUAGAAUGGGCAUCGUCAUCUCUGGCACAGCUUGACCGUUUUACAGGUCUGGGUUGGAUAUUAGCUCCAGAACCUCCUGCACUGCCUCAGGUUUGACUUGUGUUUUGUGUUUUGUUGUUUCAUGUCCUGCUUUAUCAGAAACUUCACAUGUACACAACAUUAAAUCAGUUACAAAGAUUGACGAUAUCCCUAGUAAGAUGGUAAAUUUAGUUUGACAUAUCCACAGAUUUAAACCAUUGCAAAUCAGACAUAAACCUGUUCAGACUUUAAUUUUAACUUUAUUUAUACCGCGCAUUUCGUACACAAGGCAACUCAAUAUAUGUAUGUCUGUGAACAAUGUUGACAUGAAGGGAUCUAAUUGUUGUUAUUCUGAUUCAAUGAUAUUUGUUGGGACAGACUUUUGACCCCUGCCAUCACAUCAAAACUUUUGAUGGGAUAUUGGCCAACUCCGGGUAUUGUGAGGACAAAGCUCAACAUCUCCUUUCAUCCCUUGCUGUGAGCCCACAACAAAAGGAAGCCAUCGAGAGAGCCACAGUUGGGCAAACUAAGAAUGACUUAUGGUAAUAAUACAUACAAGGAUCGAUUGAUUUCAUGUGUACUAAAAGUCAUUAGUGACUAGCUCUUUCUUGAAUUGUUUUUUAAGUGCUGUGAGGUUAACUGUUGUGUGUUUCUUUAUAACAGGAUGGCAUAUCGCAAGAAGAGAGUUACAGCCAGCAACUUUGGUCUUGUGUUGGCGGCAGUGAAGAGGAACUCUUACCCUCCUUCAUUAUUCAAAACGCUGCUUGGUCAUUACAACUUCAAGCAAGGAGCUCAUGCUUGUGAUUGGGGAAUCGUUCAUGAGCCAAAGGCUAAAGAAGAGUACAUGAAGCGCCCUGGUGUGACCAUCCAGGAGAGCGGAGUGUUUCUCUCUGACAGUGGCCUGCUUGGUGGCUCUCCAGAUGGGACAGUAUCUGCUGACUGCAUCAUUGAGGUGAAAUGUCCUUAUGCAGCCAGAAAGAAGACCAUAAUUCAGGCAGCAGAGGCAAAGGACUUUUAUCUCAAACUGGAUGAAGUUACUGGCCUACUGAAAAUGAAGCCGACUCACAACUACUGGCAUCAAAUUCAGGGCAACCUGUACCUGACAGGAGCUGGCACAUGUCACCUGGUGGUAUGGACUCCGCUGGAUGUUGUAAUUCUGUUCAUCCAUAAAGAUCCAGCUUGGGCAAACAACAUUAGUGUUUUAGAAAUAUUUUAUAAGGACAUUUUCCUGCCCCAUAUUCUCUCCGAUAUUAAAUGAUUAACCCUGCAUUUGUUUACAUGUUCUAAAUAGGGAUGUCAGGAUUCAAAUUUUUGAGUCACGAAUAUUAUGAGGAAAAAUGUUGCGAUUUCUUUACAAUUAUUCAUGAAUAGCGAAAUUUAGAAGAAAGAAUUUCUCAACCUUUACAGUUCUGUGUAAAUGUUCACAAAAGAGGACAUUUUACGUAUAUAUUUAUUUAAGGGUUGUUUUAAUUGAUAGCCUAUUGAAGGUUCAGCCUUUAUUUUUUAUCUUCAUGCUUUUGUCAUUAUAUAAAAAAGUAAUAUAAUAAAAAGUAAACUUAUAAAUAGGCAGUAGAAUA
rnacentral:lncRNA from 1 species